GCUUGAGAUCGUUCUGAUGAUAUCAGGAUCAAGAGAACUUGACACGGUUUUGAAAGGAGGAACUGAAACCAGCUUUAUUACUGAAUUAUAUGGUGAAUACCGCUCUCGAAAGCUAUGAUAAAGUCAUGCAAGCCUACUAUAAAAAACAUGUAUGUUUUUCUUUGGUUUUUCCCAACUGAUGCUUACUUUUUCUUCAUUCUUUAUAAGAACAAAAUACAUCAGUGACUCCUAUCCUAUGUGUACCCUAGUAAGAUUUUGGAAUUGCUGAAUUAAUAAAACCUUGCUGCCUGCAGCGGCUAGGAACGCAGUUCAUGGAGUGAACUAUCAAUACUGUCCCUUUUUGGUAUUUGGUGUUUGGUCAGUUCUUCGUGCCAUGGUCCUAGAACCUUAGUGUGUGCUGAUUUCUGCAUGCCAUGGUCUUAGGACCAUGGUGUGUGGUAACUUUUGCAUGCUAUUGUCCUAGAACCAUGGUGUGUGGUGACUACUAAAUGCCAAUGGAGCAUUAAAGUUGUUUCUGUUGGGUUUUAUUUGUGAUAGUGAACUCUGUGCACCAAGACAAGCACCGAUAAGUCUGAUAAGAAGUGGGUGUUUCUGUCUUUUCAAAUUUUUUUAGUUAAAUCUAUUUUAGGUAUGAUAUUUAUGUCUGGAUUAGAAGAUUCAUCGAGUCUUUUGUUCUAGUUUUGUGAUUUUCUUGUUGUGUUUAAAUGGCUUUACCGAGUGAAGAGCAGAAACUAUCAGCAACUCAGAAAUAAACCACCAAAGGAAUGGAAGCCAACUAAAGAUCUAACAAGCUUUCUAGUGACAUCAGUCAGUCUCUGUUGUAAUACGAAAAAUGUGUGUUCUUCUGUUGUUUGAACCAUUUUACUUUUCC